AUUGAACGCUGGCGGCAUGCCUUACACAUGCAAGUCGAACGGUAGAGGGGGCAACCCCUCGAGAGUGGCGAACGGGUGAGUAAAGCAUCGGAACGUGCCCAGUAGUGGGGGAUAGCCCGGCGAAAGCCGGAUUAAUACCGCACGAGACCUACGGGUGAAAGGGGGGGAUCGCAAGACCUCUCGCUAUUGGAGCGGCCGUCGUCAGAUUAGGUAGUGGGUGGGGUAAAGGCCUACCAAGCCGACGAUCUGUAGCUGGUCUGAGAGGACGACCAGCCACACUGGGACUGAGACACGGCCCAGACUCCUACGGGAGGCAGCAGUGGGGAAUUUUGGACAAUGGGCGAAAGCCUGAUCCAGCCAUGCCGCGUGCGGGAAGAAGGCCUUCGGGUUGUAAACCGCUUUUGUCAGGGAAGAAAUCCUUUGAGUUAAUACCUCGGGGGGAUGACGGUACCUGAAGAAUAAGCACCGGCUAACUACGUGCCAGCAGCCGCCGUAACAC
rnacentral:rRNA from 1 species